CGAAGGGGGCUAGCGUUGCUCGGAAUUACUGGGCGUAAAGGGCGCGUAGGCGGACAGUUUAGUCAGAGGUGAAAGCCCAGGGCUCAACCCUUGGAAUUGCCUUUGAUACUGGCUGUCUUGAGUUCGGGAGAGGUGAGUGGAAGUGCCGAGUGUAGAGGUGAAAUUCGUAGAUAUUCGGCGGAACACCAGUGGCGAAGGCGACUCACUGGCCCGAUACUGACGCUGAGGCGCGAAAGCGUGGGGAGCAAACAGGAUUAGAUACCCUGGUAGUCCACGCUGUAAACGAUGAGUGCUAGUUGUCGGCAUGCAUGCAUGUCGGUGACGCAGCUAACGCAUUAAGCACUCCGCCUGGGGAGUACGGUCGCAAGAUA
rnacentral:rRNA from 1 species